UGGUUGAUAUUCCAGUACCACCAUGUUCGCGACCGUUCCAAUACUUUGUUGCUAAGGGGCUGUGUUGACUUCGGUUAACACGAACCGACCCACAUUGUUGCGGAAAGCUAUAGGGGGACGCAGGAAGGUAGAUGAACCCGGUGAAUGGUAGAACCGGGGUAAGCGUGUAGGAGGAGGACCAGGCAAAUCCGGGCCUCAUAUACUCUGAGACGUGAUACCGAGCCGCUUCAGGCGAAGUCAUUAAUCCUAUGCUGCCUAGAAAAGCCCAGUAGCGAGUUGACAUGGUGCCCGUACCCCAAACCAACACAGGUGGACAGGUAGAGCAUACCAAGGCGAGUGGGAUAACUAUGGUUAAGGAACUCGGCAAAUUUCCUCCGUACCUUCGGGAUAAGGAGGACCCCAGUAGCGUGACGAGACUUGCUCUCCGAGCGUGAAGGGGUGGCACAAAAUUGAGGGAAGCGACUGUUUACCAAAAACACAGCAGCGUGCUAAGCCGUAAGGCGCUGUAUACGCUGUGACUCCUGCCCGGUGCUGGAAGGUUACGGGGAUGGGUUAGUCCUUUGGGACGAAGCUCUGAACCUAAGCCCCAGUAAACGGCGGCCGUAACUAUAACGGUCCUAAGGUAGCGAAAUUCCUUGUCGGGUAAGUUCCGACCUGCACGAAUGGAGUAACGACUUCCCUACUGUCUCAACCAUAGACCCAGCGAAAUUGAAGUACGAGUAAAGAUGCUCGUUAGCUGCAGAAGGACGGAAAGACCCCGUGGACCUUUACUAUAACUUGAUGUUGUGUUUUGUCAUAUGUUGUGUAGGAUAGGUGGGAGACAAGGAAGCAUGGACGCUAGUCUGUGUGGAGUCAUCGUUGAAAUACCACCCUGCAUAUGGUGAGGCUCUAACCUAGACCCGUUAUCCGGGUUGGGGACAGCGUCAGGCGGGUAGUUUAACUGGGGCGGUUGCCUCCUAAAGAGUAACGGAGGCGCCCAAAGGUUCCCUCAGCCUGGUUGGCAAUCAGGCGUCGAGUGCAAUGGCAAAAGGGAGCUUGACUGCGAGACCUACAAGUCGAGCAGGAGCGAAAGCUGGGCAUAGUGAUCCGGCGGUUGCGUGUGGAAGCGCCGUCGCUCAACGGAUAAAAGGUACCCCGGGGAUAACAGGCUAAUCUUGCCCAAGCGUCCAUAGCGACGGCAAGGUUUGGCACCUCGAUGUCGGCUCAUCGCAUCCUGGGGCUGAAGCAGGUCCCAAGGGUUGGGCUGUUCGCCCAUUAAAGCGGUACGCGAGCUGGGUUCAGAACGUCGUGAGACAGUUCGGUCCCUAUCCUCUGUAGCCGUAGGUGAAUUGAGGAAAGCUGUCCCUAGUACGAGAGGACCGGGACGGACGCAGCUCUCGUGUGCCAGUUGUCCUGCCAAGGGCAUGGCUGGUUAGCGACCUGCGGAAAGGAUAACCGCUGAAAGCAUCUAAGCGGGAAGCCUCUUCCAAGAUGAAUUCACCCACAGGGUUGACCUGGUAAGGCCCGUGGUAGACCACCACGUUGAUAGGCCGGAAGUGUAAGCGUGGCAACACGUUCAGCUGACCGGUACUAAUCGGCCGAGGGCUUG
rnacentral:rRNA from 1 species